rnacentral:rRNA from 1 species
UACGUAGGGGGCGAGCGUUGUCCGGAAUUAUUGGGCGUAAAGAGCGUGUAGGCGGUUCGGUAAGUCCGCCGUGAAAACCUGGGGCUCAACCCUGGGCGUGCGGUGGAUACUGCUGGGCUAGAGGAUGGUAGAGGCGAGUGGAAUUCCCGGUGUAGCGGUGAAAUGCGCAGAUAUCGGGAGGAACACCAGUAGCGAAGGCGGCUCGCUGGGCCAUUCCUGACGCUGAGACGCGAAAGCGUGGGGAGCAAACAGG